GAUGAACGCUGGCGGCGUGCCUAAUACAUGCAAGUCGAGCGAACGGACGAGAAGCUUGCUUCUCUGAUGUUAGCGGCGGACGGGUGAGUAACACGUGGAUAACCUACCUAUAAGACUGGGAUAACUUCGGGAAACCGUAGCUAAUACCGGAUAAUAUUUUGAACCGCAUGUUUCAAAAGUGAAAGACGGUCUUGCUGUCACUUAUAGAUGGAUCCGCCUUGCAUUAGCUAGUUGGUAAGGUAACGGCUUACCAAGGCAACGAUGCAUAGCCGACCUGAGAGGGGGAUCGGCCACACUGGAACUGAGAAACGGUCCAGACUCCUACGGGAGGCAGCAGUAGGAAAUCUUCCGCAAUGGGCGAAAGCCUGACGGAGCAACGCCGCGUGAGUGAUGAAGGUCUUCGGAUCGUAAAACUCUGUUAUUAGGGAAGAACAUAUGUGUAAGUAACUGUGCACAUCUUGACGGUACCUAAUCAGAAAGCCACGGCUAACUACGUG
rnacentral:rRNA from 1 species